GUAGGGAGCGAGCGUUAUCCGGAUUCAUUGGGCGUAAAGAGCGCGUAUGCGGCCUUUCAAGCGGGAUCUCUAAUCCGAGGGCUCAACCCCCGGCCGGAUCCCGAACUGGGAGGCUCGAGUUCGGUAGAGGCAGGCGGAAUUCCCGGUGUAGCGGUGGAAUGCGCAGAUAUCGGGAAGAACACCGAUGGCGGAGGCAGCCUGCUGGGCCGAAACUGACGCUGAGGCGCGAAAGCUAGGGGAGCGAACAGGAUUAGAUACCCUGGUAGUCCUAGCCGUAAACGAUGGGCGCUAGGUGUGGGGGGCAACGCCCUCCGUGCCGCAGCCAACGCAUUAAGCGCCCCGCCUGGGGAGUACGGCCGCAAGGCUAAAACUCAAAGGAAUUGACGG
rnacentral:rRNA from 1 species